GUGGCCGGGGUGGCCUAUACAUGCAAGUCGAACGGAGAUUGUAGCAAUACAGUCUUAGUGGCGAACGGGUGAGUAACGCGUUGGUGACCUGCCCCGAAGUGUGGGAUAACAGCCCGAAAGGGUUGCUAAUACCGCAUGUGGUUUUUCGGAUUAGAUGCCGAAUUUCUAAAGGAGAAAUUCGCUUCGGGAGGGGCCUGCGUCCCAUCAGCUAGUUGGUAGGGUAAAAGCCUACCAAGGCGAUGACGGGUGGGGGACCUGAGAGGGUGGCCCCCCACAAUGGAACUGAAACACGGUCCAUACACCUACGGGUGGCAGCAGUAGGGAAUAUUGGUUAAUGGGCGAAAGCCUGAACCAGCAACGCCGCGUGUGCGAUGACGGCCUUCGGGUUGUAAAGCACUUUUUGAGGGGAUGAGGAAGGACAGUACCCUCAGAAUAAGUCUCGGCUAACUACGUGCCAGCAGCCGCGGUAACACGUAGGAGACUAGCGUUAUUCGGAUUUACUGGGCGUAAAGCGCGUGCAGGCGGUUCGGUUAGUUGGAUGUGAAAGCUCCUGGCUUAACUGGGAGAGGUCGUUCAAUACUGCCGGACUUGAGAGUGGUAGAGGGAGUUGGAAUUCCGGGUGUAGUGGUAAAAUGCGUAGAUAUCCGGAAGAACACCAGUGGCGAAAGCGGACUCCUGGACCAUUUCUGACGCUCAGACGCGAAAGCUAGGGGAGCGAACGGGAUUAGAGACCCCGGUAGUCCUAGCUGUAAACGAUGUAGACUUGGCGUUGGAGGGGUUAAAUCCCUUCAGUGCCGAAGCAACGCGAUAAGUCUACCGCCUGGGGGACUACGGCCGCAAGGGUUA
rnacentral:rRNA from 1 species